GGAUUAGAUACCCUGGUAGUCCACACCGUAAACGCUGUCUACUAGCUGUUUGUGGCUUUAAGCCGUGAGUAGCGAAGCUAACGCGAUAAGUAGACCGCCUGGGGAGUACGGCCGCAAGGUUAAAACUCAAAUGAAUUGACGGGGGCCCGCACAAGCGGUGGAGCAUGUGGUUUAAUUCGAUGCAACGCGAAGAACCUUACCUACACUUGACAUGCAGAGAACUUUCCAGAGAUGGAUUGGUGCCUUCGGGAACUCUGACACAGGUGCUGCAUGGCUGUCGUCAGCUCGUGCC
rnacentral:rRNA from 1 species